rnacentral:lncRNA from 1 species
UCAUCUAGUAUGCAAACAUCAACAACAAUUCAACAAGAAUUCACUCACUAAUUCCUCACCAUGGGAAUUAGCUACAGCCCCACAGGCUAUGCCAUGCAUGCUAAUCAUCUAGCAAUGCAGCAUCAACAACAACUCAAGAAUAGACAAUAUGCUCACACCAUAAGUCAUACAACAGUCUAUUCACAAUGCAUACAUAACUGAUACAUUUACAGCAUAAUGCACACCAUCAC